UGCACUUGGUGUUCAUCAGGGUCUCAGUACCCGUGUGUACUUCAUCAAGUUCAGGCCAGCAUCAGUUUGAGUGGUUAUAUAAAGGCUUAGAGAAUGUGGCCCUCUUCGGGGGGUGUUAUACCUCUAGGUGCAAUGUAACCUACUUGGACUGAGGACCGCGCUUCGGCUAGGAUGCUGGCGUAAUGGUUGUAAGCGACCCGUCUUGAAACACGGACCAAGGAGU
rnacentral:rRNA from 1 species